AGCAGUAUGUACGAUACAGUGAUCAAGUGCAGACGGAUGCAUGACCAGCACCGUCAGUGCAUUGACGUGUGGACGAUUAUAAACUGAGGGUAAAAUACAAUAUUUCCUGACAAGCAAAAUCUCACCAGAUACACCGGUGGACUGCUCGAGAUCAAUACUCCACGUGUGUGAACGACGGCGAUUAGCUACACGUUGUAGUUCUAUGUGAUCGCAUGUCCCAGUUGGCUCUGGUGAAGGUCACUUAAAGCUCGCGGAGAGCAAUCUAUUGUGUCUGUGGACUCGCUACUCAGGUACCGCACAACACGCACGAUCGUACGGACACUUUUG